ACUCCUACGGGAGGCAGCAGUGGGGAAUAUUGCACAAUGGGCGCAAGCCUGAUGCAGCCAUGCCGCGUGUGUGAAGAAGGCCUUCGGGUUGUAAAGCACUUUCAGUUGUGAGGAAGGUGGUGUCGUUAAUAGCGGCAUCAUUUGACGUUAGCAACAGAAGAAGCACCGGCUAACUCCGUGCCAGCAGCCGCGGUAAUACGGAGGGUGCGAGCGUUAAUCGGAAUUACUGGGCGUAAAGCGCAUGCAGGCGGCCUGUUAAGUCAGAUGUGAAAGCCCGGGGCUUAACCUCGGAAUUGCAUUUGAAACUGGCAGGCUAGAGUCUUGUAGAGGGGGGUAGAAAUUUCAGGUGUAGCGGUGAAAUGCGUAGAG
rnacentral:rRNA from 1 species